rnacentral:rRNA from 1 species
GCUGGCGGCAUGCUAACACAUGCAGUCGAACGAACCUUCGGGGUUAGUGGCGCACGGGUGCGUAACGCGUGGGAAUCUGCCCUUAGGUACGGAAUAACUCAGGGAAACUUGUGCUAAUACCGUAUGAUGUCGAGAGACCAAAGAUUUAUCGCCUAGGGAUGAGCCCGCGUAGGAUUAGCUAGUUGGUGGGGUAAAGGCCUACCAAGGCUACGAUCCUUAGCUGGUCUGAGAGGAUGAUCAGCCACACUGGGACUGAGACACGGCCCAGACUCCUACGGGAGGCAGCAGUGGGGAAUAUUGGACAAUGGGCGAAAGCCUGAUCCAGCAAUGCCGCGUGAGUGAAGAAGGCCUUAGGGUUGUAAAGCUCUUUUACCCGGGAAGAUAAUGACUGUACCGGGAGAAUAAGCCCCGGCUAACUCCGUGCCAGCAGCCGCGGUAAUACGGAGGGGGCUAGCGUUGUUCGGAAUUACUGGGCGUAAAGCGUCCGUAGGCGGCUUUUUAAGUCAGAGGUGAAAGCCCACGACUCAAUCGUGGAACUGCCUUUGAGACUGAAUCGCUUGAAGAUGGGAG